CACGUAGGCACCGAGCGCUGUCCGGAUUUAUUGGGCGUAAAGAGCUCGUAGGCGGUUGAGUAAGUCGGGUGUGAAAACUCUGGGCUUAACCCAGAGCCGCCACUCGAUACUGCUCUGACUUGAGUUCGGUAGGGGAGCAGGGAAUUCCUAGUGUAGCGGUGAAAUGCGCAGAUAUUAGGAGGAACACCGGUGGCGAAGGCGCUGCUCUGGGCCGAAACUG
rnacentral:rRNA from 1 species